rnacentral:rRNA from 1 species
GAUGAACGCUGGCGGCGUGCCUAAUACAUGCAAGUCGAACGGAAAGGCCCUGCUCUUGCGGGGCGCUCGAGUGGCGAACGCGUGAGUAACACGCGUGUAAACCGCCCCUGUAUUUGGGAUAACUCCACGAAACAGGGGCUAAAAUCGGAUAGGAGAUCUUGCUGCACGGGGGGGGUUGGAAAGAUUCGGUGGUUGGGGAUGGUCUCGCGGCUUAUCCGCUUGUUGGUGGGGUAGUGGCUUACCAAGGUUUCGACGGAUAGCCGGCCUGGGAGGGUGGCCGGCCACAAUGGGACUAAGAUACGGCCCAGACUCCUACGGGACGCAGCAGUGGAAAAUAUUACGCAGUGGGCGGAAGCCUGUUGCGGAGACGCCGCGUGCGGGAUGACGGCCUUCGGGUUAUAAACCGCUUUCGCCUGUGACGUAGCGUGAGUGACGGUAAUGGAUAAGGAAGCACCGGCUAACUACGUG